GGGAAUUUGGACAAUGGGGCAACCCUGAUCCAGCCAUUCCGCGUGAGUGAAGAAGGCCUUCGGGUUGUAAAGCUCUUUCGGCAGGAACGAAAAGGACGGGCUCUAACAUAGCCUGUCAAUGACGGUACCUGAAGAAGAAGCACCGGCUAACUACGUGCCGGCAGCCGCGGUAAUACGUAGGGUGCGAGCGUUAAUCGGAAUUACUGGGCGUAAAGCGUGCGCAGGCGGCUUUUGUAAGACAGGUGUGAAACUCCCCGGGCUUAACCUGGGAACUGCGCUUGUGACUGCAAGGCUUGAGUGUGGCAGAGGGGGGUGGAAUUCCACGUGUAGCAGUGAAAUGCGUAGAGAUGUGGAGGAACACCGAUGGCGAAGGCAGCCCCCUGGGUCAACACUGACGCUCAUGCACGAAAGCGUGGGUAGCAAACAG
rnacentral:rRNA from 1 species